rnacentral:rRNA from 1 species
UGGGGAAUAUUGCACAAUGGGCGCAAGCCUGAUGCAGCCAUGCCGCGUGUGUGAAGAAGGCCUUCGGGUUGUAAAGCACUUUCAGCGGGGAGGAAGGCGAUAAGGUUAAUAAGCUUGUCGAUUGACGUUACCCGCAGAAGAAGCACCGGCUAACUCCGUGCCAGCAGCCGCGGUAAUACGGAGGGUGCAAGCGUUAAUCGGAAUUACUGGGCGUAAAGCGCACGCAGGCGGUCUGUCAAGUCGGAUGUGAAAUCCCCGGGCUUAACCUGGGAACUGCAUUCGAAACUGGCAGGCUAGAGUCUUGUAGAGGGGGGUAGAAUUCCAGGUGUAGCGGUGAAAUGCGUAGAGAUCUGGAGGAAUACCGGUGGCGAAGGCGGCCCCCUGGACAAAGACUGACGCUCAGGUGCGAAAGCGUGGGGAGCAAACAGG